rnacentral:rRNA from 1 species
AGUGAACGCUGGCGGUAGGCCUAACACAUGCAAGUUGAACGGCAGCACAGUAAGAGCUUGCUCUUACGGGUGGCGAGUGGCGGACGGGUGAGGAAUACAUCGGAAUCUACUUUUUCGUGGGGGAUAACGUAGGGAAACUUACGCUAAUACCGCAUACGACCUACGGGUGAAAGCAGGGGAUCUUCGGACCUUGCGCGAUUGAAUGAGCCGAUGUCGGAUUAGCUAGUUGGCGGGGUAAAGGCCCACCAAGGCGACGAUCCGUAGCUGGUCUGAGAGGAUGAUCAGCCACACUGGAACUGAGACACGGUCCAGACUCCUACGGGAGGCAGCAGUGGGGAAUAUUGGACAAUGGGCGCAGGCCUGAUCCAGCCAUACCGCGUGGGUGAAGAAGGCCUUCGGGUUGUAAAGCCCUUUUGUUGGGAAAGAAAAGCAGCAGGUUAAUACCCCGCUGUUCUGACGGUACCCAAAGAAUAAGCACCGGCUAACUUCGUG